rnacentral:lncRNA from 1 species
GAGGGUGGAGGAAGGAGCUUGUAAAUGAGCAGCUGGUUUGCAGCAAAACCGCACCUCACUCUGCACCUUUGGAUCCCUCUCAGCCUGAGGUUAGCACAGCCAAUGUCCUCACCAGCGUCUGCCAAAGCCCAUGGAGAAGGCCAGCAGGAGCAUAUCACUGUGACUUACAACCCUUCUCUAGUCUGCUACAAUGGAAUCUUAAACAAGAAAAUUUUAUAUUUUGACUUGCAUCAUUGAGAAAAACACUGCCAACCUGAUCGUGGUUCCUUUGAAGAAUCACUGCAGCAGGUGCGAGAGAGGACUCAUGGAGCUUGCAGAUGAGCUAGCCCAGAUGCAAUUCCAGGAAUGCCAGGAAGCAAACCAAUUCCACCCCAAGAUACAAACAAAGAACAGCACCCUCUCAAAUGAUGCUGCAUGAUAAGUGGCCACAGAGAGCACCGCUGUAAUCAGUCAGAAAGGCAGGUGAGCUAUUAGCUUACCCAGGAAUGUCCUACCUAAUGUAGAAUCAAUGGUGAUGGUUAACAGACCCUGGCUAUGGUGACAGGCCUGGGACCUGAUUGAGGAAAUCCAAAUGAAAAACAGCCAAGAGGAACAACAAGCUAGAAAAAGAUGUUCCAGGCCGGGUGCAGUGGCUCACGCCUGUAAUCCCAACACUUUGGGAGG